GCCCCUGCUGCCCACCGCUGUCGCCCCCUCACCUCUUGGCGUCCGGGGCCACCUGGCCCCGCACUCUGAGGCACUCCCCAGGUUUGAGAUUCAGGUUGCUGGCGACCAGACCCUGCACAAACAAGACCCCGCCCAGCCAGUUGUCUGCCCCCACGCCAUCCCUGGGCCUUGGGGUGGGGCCCCCAUACUCACACAAGCCAUGACUGAAGAGAGAAGGAUGUUCCUGGGACUGCGGCACCAGCUGUCUGAAGACUACCGGAGAGAUGUGCCCCUGGCCGCUCCCACCCUUUUAACUGGACCAGACCCCGGGUUUGGAGAGCUUCCAGGUUGGUGAACACAUCCACAUCCAUGCUGGGAGGCUGCCGCACCCCAACUCCAUGGUGACAGAAGCUUCUGCACCUCGCCCUAUGGGUCUUCAUCUAGCUGUUCAUCUGCAUGCUUUAUCAUCCCCUUUAUUAUAUAAUAAACCAGUAAUCGUAGUGUUACCCUGAGUUUUCAAACCUGAGAAGGGGGUUGUGGGAACCUCUGAUUUAUAGCCAGUUGGUCAGAAGUACAGGUGAUGACUCUGGACUUGCGAUUGGCAUUGAAGUGGGGGAGAAUCUUAGGAGACCGAGCCCGUAACCUUUGGGGUCUGCACUAACUCCAGGUAGUGUCAGAAUUGAAUUAAAAUUGUAGGA